rnacentral:rRNA from 1 species
CAGCCGCCACGGUAAUACGGAGGGUGCAAGCGUUAAUCGGAAUUACUGGGCGUAAAGCGCACGCAGGCGGUUUGUUAAGUCAGAUGUGAAAUCCCCGAGCUUAACUUGGGAACUGCAUUUGAAACUGGCAAGCUAGAGUCUUGUAGAGGGGGGUAGAAUUCCAGGUGUAGCGGUGAAAUGCGUAGAGAUCUGGAGGAAUACCGGUGGCGAAGGCGGCCCCCUGGACAAAGACUGACGCUCAGGUGCGAAAGCGUGGGGAGCAAACAGGAUUAGAUACCCGGGUAGUCACUGUCUCUUAUAU